rnacentral:misc_RNA from 1 species
GAUGAAGAACGUAGCGAAAUGCGAUAAGUAAUGUGAAUUGCAGAAUUCAGUGAAUCAUCGAAUCUUUGAACGCACAUUGCGCCCGCCAGUAUUCUGGCGGGCAUGUCUGUUCGAGCGUCAUUUCAACCAUCAAGCCCCCGGCUUGUGUUGGGGACCUGCGGCUGCCGCAGGCCCUGAAAACCAGUGGCGGGCUCGCUAGUCACUCCGAGCGUAGUAAUACAUCUCGCUCAGGGCGUGCUGCGGGUUCCGGCCGUUAAAAGCCUUAUUUACCCAAGGUUGACCUCGGAUCAGGUAGGAAGACCCGCUGAACUUAAGCAUAUCAAUAAGCGGAGGA